rnacentral:tRNA from 1 species
GUUAUAGCUCAGUGGUAGAGUGCUUGCCUGGCAUGUGUGAGGCAUUGGGUUCAAUCCUCAGCACCACA